rnacentral:rRNA from 1 species
GACGAACGCUGGCGGCGUGCUUAACACAUGCAAGUCGUACGGUAAGGCCCUUUCGGGGGUACACGAGUGGCGCACGGGUGAGUAACACGUGAGUAACCUGCCCACAACUUUGGGAUAACGCUAGGAAACUGGUGCUAAUACUGGAUAUGUGCUCCUGCUGCAUGGUGGGGGUUGGAAAGCUCCGGCGGUUGUGGAUGGACUCGCGGCCUAUCAGCUUGUUGGUGGGGUAGUGGCCUACCAAGGCGGCGACGGGUAGCCGGCCUGAGAGGGUGACCGGCCACAUUGGGACUGAGAUACGGCCCAGACUCCUACGGGAGGCAGCAGUGGGGAAUAUCGCACAAUGGGCGCAAGCCUGAUGCAGCAACGCCGCGUGCGGGAUGACGGCCUUCGGGUUGUAAACCGCUUUCAGCAGGGACGAAGCUUUUUGUGACGGUACCUGCAGAAGAAGCACCGGCUAACUACGUG